rfam:Colletotrichum gloeosporioides Nara gc5 unplaced genomic scaffold scaffold1097, whole genome shotgun sequence.
AUCCCAGUGCAGGAGUGUACACAGAUCACUGAAGCUUCGGCUGAGAUUGUGUUUUUGCUGAUGGUGGCCCUUUCACCACUGACCACUCCUAGUUGGUCUUGACCAGCUAGGGAAUUUUUGGACCAUUUUUGUGA